rnacentral:snoRNA from 1 species
AUAUAAUUACAUGAUGACUGUAUAGUUCAACUGAAUUUAUCUUGACGAUUACUUAAUAUUAUAGUCUUUCGCUCCUAUCUGAUAUUGUUU